UAUGUUGAAUAAGUUAACGAAAGUUUGAAAUUGCUAACUAAAUCAUUUGUAUGAUGUGUCAUAGGGAAAGCUGCUGGAGUAAUCUAGUGUUCAUCCUCUUGAUUCAUUUCGUGUCAGCUAGCAGCUAGUGAAAGGUGUAACGAUUCGAGUUGAGCUGCUGCCGCUGCGUGCUGUCUGCAAGAACGCAUCAAAUUAGCUGUCGCUAGGUGGCUUAAAAUGAUUUCCACUAGGUUGCGCGAGUGUCUUCACUCUUCAGGGAUAAAUGUGUUAUGGUCGUGACGUUUCUCAUGAUGAAAAUGAAAAGGUCCAAUGCAACAGUAAAAAUGUCAUUCUUUUGGACUGCAUAGUGUUGUCUUACUCCUGGUAUUCUAUGAUCAUAAUGAGUCCUGCAUGUCCGCUGCUGGUUACUUUGUUGCAGACAGCUGGGGAUAGGUGUUCCUUUUGCAGGUGUGCUACUGGUACUGGUUGUAAUUUUCGUCAUGUACAGAAACAAUUCUUAAGCAGGAUGUCGAAGAUCUUUCCUUUCUCCACGUGGUUGCUGACGUGUCAUGAAGAUGUGUUUUUGGGAGGGUCUCUACUAUAUUGCAAGACAAAAGUGUGAUGAAAACAGGAAAUCUGAAAUGGUGUCCAUCUUUCUUAAUAGCCCACAUUUCUACUUGACAGCUCUACCAAUGUGUUUAACAGCAUAAGAAGUUAAUCAAUGAUGCCAAGCUUCUAAGGACUUACAAACGAAAAUGUUUCUCAUUUCACAGUAAUGGUGAUCCCAAAGAAUAUGACCAUUGAAGAUUUAGUUCUCUAUGCAGAGACAAAACGAUAGUGUUAAGUCUGAAGUUGAGUCACACCAAUUAGCUUGAAACUAAAUUGCUUUUUUCACACUGCAGUGGCUGAAAGCAAUUGGAUGUACAUGGCUAAUUUUAUCGUCAUAUAAAUAGGGUGGUGGACAUGUUACAAAAUUUUUCCACAAGAAUGCAGAAAACUAUUAUCAAAUCAAUUACUAGAUGACCUUUUUAUAUCUUCCUUUUUACUCCUAUCAUUUGGGUUUAAAUAGUGACGAACUGACAGGUGGAUGGUGGCAGCAUAUUUGAUACAGGGAUCCACUCUUUCUUAUAGGCUAAAACAUCUGACAGAAGUUAUCCAAAAUAGGCAACUUGUGUGUAUUACGUUUCAGAUGGUUUCGAUUCCGACUAGUCCGGUGCAUCAGUGGGCCCUCUUCCGACAAACCCAGAUUAGUUUCAUUAUCAAUCAUGUUUUCGAAUUUUUUUUAGAAAAUGGCUAAUUGGUUUUUCUUUUGUGAACAUAUGUUGGUGGUGGACCGUAAAUUCCAGAAUCGGAUGAGAUUUCUGGCGAUGACAAUAGAACAGGAUGCAUAUUCGGAAGUCAUGGGCUGUCUGAUGGGCCCGCAACACGUCCAGCAGCCACAUUGAGACUCGGAAACGUUUGUCGGUUCUUCGUUGCCGACGUCGGCCGUCUUGACUGAGUUACAGCACGCUACCUGGACAAUUCCCGACUCUUCACUCGCUUCGACGACAACAAAGAAUUUUUUCCGGUUCCAAAGUUUAUGGUGUUUCGUCGGUGGACCACACAUUUUGAGUCAUCGUUAUUAUGAUGCAUUUGCCUAUAAUAGUGAAGCAGGAGCGAUAACUGGGAGCAGCUGCCGGAUGAUUCUGGAACCACGAACUUACUCUUCCGUUUGGUGCGCCGAUUCGCCAAUUAUUUGUUUGGUCGUUUGCAUCGCAACCGACUGAAACAUCACCGCAAUGAACCGAAACUAUGAGAUGCUAUUUUGUUGCCGGAAGUAAUCAAAGAUAUCCUAUCGGUGCUGGAUCGUGGAUAGAAUCAUUCGUUCGGCUGAAGAAUAUCUCGACUCUUUCGAAUGACCUGGCCCAACAAUUCACAGAUCUCGUCCGGGAUCAACUCGCUUAUUCAAUCACGCCAUAUUGGGAUCCAGCAAAGAAAACUUUUACUCCUCAGCUGAAUUUUGUCCACCAUUCAACAACGGAUGCCACUGCUUCUAGUCAAUCUGCUGGACCGUGUUCCGGCAUAAAAGAUUCAUUUUAGAUUGUUUGAUUGUUUGAAAUUGCCACGAACUUGUUUGUUUUUUUGUUUGUUUUCUGCAAUUCGUCUUGUUGUGGAGCGUCUAGACUAGCAUAUCUGAUUAAGGGUCUAACAGUUUGCGUAUUGGCCCAGUCGAAGGUACUGGAGGAAGUCUGAUUGGUGGCGAUCGUGUGCCCGUUUUAGUGAUGGUUAGUUAGAGAACGCUGCCGUAAUUGUUGUCACAGAAGGAGUGAUUUAUGUCUCCGGCUCUUUUAGUUAUAUUUCGUGUCAGAAACAAAAAGGUUUUCCAUUCAGGGUUCCCCAUCUCUCAUACCGGUCUGUUACAGCAGUAGUCAACGGCGUACAACGAAUUUUUUAAUUCAAGGUUUUUUUUUCUCAUUUAAAUGCUGCAGUGCAUUAAUGUUAGUAUUUGUUUUUGUAAGAGUUGACUGGGGAAGUAUUGGGUUAGUACAUGCAUGGUGUUAUUUAUCAUAAGAAUACAAGAACAGACAUGGGAAACAUUGGGAGGUAAUAGAAGGGGGGGGGGACAUGUGGAAGGAGUAGGAAAUGAACCUGGGGCCUUUCUUAUCAUCACUAGGGGCCGCAAUCAUGACACAACGGUCCAACUUCCAAUUUGAUAAAUCUCGGGAAUUUAUCAGAUCCUUUAAAGGGCUGGCUAAGAAUGCUGUGGAAUUUUUCAAUUUAGGCAACACAGUAGGUAGCUAUUGGUUAUUGUCACGAGUUACGUGUUUGACUCUCGUAGGACAAUGGAGGACUAAGAGGGUAGGAAGUAGAAGUGCAGAGAAAUCUGUGGAAUAGUCCAGUAAAAUGCGAAUGUAUAAGAAAAGAAACGUGGUAAGUUGCAAUUUUAUUUUUCAACGGGAUAUUUACAUCCGUCAGGAUGAUUCCAUUCAUAGUUGAAAUGUUUGGUUAGUAAUGUAACUAUAAUUGCGUAUUAUAGAGACGUUACAUAGUGUUUAAGGAUUGAUCCACCGUAGUGUUGGUAGUUUUAAAUGGUACACGCGAAUCUUUCAGUCUUCAUUCUUCAGUGUUGUGUUAGCAAUGGAGGAGUAGGGUUGUCGAAUUUGUGUUCUGGUCAUCCGUGUGGACAAUCGGUUUGACUGAGUGUUAGCUUGUCAAGGUUAUUUUAACUCUUAGUUUUAUACGGCCGUAUAAAACUAAACCAAUAAAUGUGUAAUUGAAAAUAA